GUCGUCGCUGUGACUGUGACAGUAGGGGUUGGUCUCUGCCAGCCAGUCUGGGUGCCAGCCAUGCCCACAGCUGCACUCAGGGAAGAGCCAGGGCUGCCCUGUAACGUAGGACUCUCCUGACCACCACCCUUAGGCCGUGACCCAAGGAUAGCCAAGCCAAGAGCUUCAGACACCGGCACUCCUGCUUCUCAGGUUUUCGGGAUCAGACUGGGACUUACACCAUUGCCUGCGCUUGCACGCCAUUCUCUGGCCUCUGGACUCACUUGGAUUGAAUGACAUCGCUGGCUUUCCAAUUUCUUCAGCUUGUUUCUCUGGAGAACCAUGACUAACACAGCGUGAUACAGCUGGCGUUGGCGCUGUCCGAGAGUAGCUCGAGGAGGAACUGCCACAGCUGG